ensembl:lncRNA
CUAAACUCCGGUGUCAGCAGGGAGCGCAGCGCUAACGCUAGCAACCCCAGCCUGCGGGUUCCCGUGGAGACAGGCCACGGUUACCCGAUUUAGAGAAACUACAAGUACACGGCCCAAGAUUACUCUCGAGCCAGGAGUAGCAACUGUAAUCCCUCCACAGGUGGAUAUGGGAAUUCUGUAACCUUAAAUUCAAGGUGACGCUUCCACAGGGUACUCAGGAGAUUAUCCCUAUAUCACCUGGAAACAAGGCUUGCUAGAAGUCUCGGAGCCCAUAUAAGUAUGUGGGUCAAUGUACUGGCUGGUUUUGUGUGUCAACUGGACACAAGCUGGAGUUAUCACAGAGAAAGGAGCCUCCAUUGAAGAAAUGCAUUCCUGAGACCCAGCUGUAAGGCAUUUUCUCAAUUAGUGAUCAAGGGGAGAGGACCCAGCCCACCUAUGGGUGGUGCCAUCUCUGGGCUAGUGGUCUUGGGUUCUAUAAGAAAGCAGGCUGAGCAAGCCAGGGGGAGCCAGCCAGUAAGUAACAUCCCUCCACGGCCUCUGCAUCAGCUCCUGCUUCCUGACCUGCUUGAGUUCCUGUCCUGACUCUCUUUGGUGAUGAACAGCCAUGUGGAAGUAGGACUCAGGCUGCUGUCUGGCCUCUGCCUGGCUGUUGAGUCAUAACCACCACCAGAAGAUGACAAGAACACAGCCGCUGGAACCCGUCAGCCAAUAGCCCCGAGCAAGUUAUUAACUCCUAAGCCUCAAUUUUCUCAUCAGUAAAAUGGGCCUAAUAAUCAUUUGCAAAGCCAGGCUAAUGCCAACCUUGGGUUUCCCACACGGCAGUUAGAGAGAUGAAAUGCAAUAAAUGCAUGUGAAAGCAACUUGUGAACCAGAAAGCCGCUCACACUGGGAGCCAUUACUAAGAGGUUGUGAGAAACAAGUGCCUGGGAAAGAGUCUAUUAUCGCGAGCGCACGCGUGUGUGUGGAUUGUGCCACUCAGAGGACAACGUUUGGGAGCUGAUGCUCUCCUUUCACAGGGUUUUCACAUCCGGGCUGGACUUCCGGCCACUCUGCUACCCUGAGAGACGGUCGGCUUUACCAACUCCUAGACAUUUCCUUCACCGCCUCGACUCUUUCUGCUUACUCGUUUGUACUUCCGUCUUACCUUUCUGAGCCUGCAACCCUGUACACGGGGACACUCCGGCCUGCUUCCCCCAUACUGCCUUGCUCUCAGUGUCUGAGAGAGGCAGUGUCUCAGGGAGCUCCUGCUGGAGUCACGUGCUUUAGUGGACCAUACCCUGACGUCAGAUACCGCCAGCGUUGGGUCCAAGGAGAACUCACCUGAGGAGAGAGGAAAUCAUCUGUCCAAUGUAGACCUUGAAAACUAACUCCCUAUCCCCCCUCACCACCCCCUCCACAGGGUUUCUCAAAAGGUCCACCUGCCUCUGUCUCCUGAGAGCUGUGACUGAAGCCUGUGCCACCCCUGCUUGGCAAACUGUCUUUUUAAAAAAGAAUAAAUUCGUAUUUUUCUGUG